CGUACUGUGCGGAGCAGGCUGGGAGGGACGACACAGUACCAGACGUCACACAGCAAGGCACUGUGUUCAAAGGGUGCCAUAAACUGUUGCUUUAUUUAACGUAUUUUCGCAGAACAAGACAGUGACAGGGGCCGUGGUGGCUGUCAGCGUGUGCUGGUGCAAGCUUGGUGCCUGCCGGGAGGUGCCAAGUGCAGUGCCACCAAGGCUAAUAUUGGUAAGAAACCGGCCCACCACUUGUCCAGCCAGCUAAUUUGCACAGUCUGAUGUAACAGGCGGUAACUGUGAUAGUGUUGUUACAUGUCACCCACAACAACAACACAGGGCUGUCAGAGGGACAAAAGAGAAAAGCAGGAAGACCACCACCACCACCACCACCACCAGCACAGUGGAAAAAAGGACUCACCAUAAUAAAUAAAUAAAAAUAGAAAAGUGGUUGGUGUUGAGGCUAGACAGAAAAGAGAAGAAAGGAAAGAAUCUCUUGUUCAAGGAUUCUUCUGAAGAUUCAGUUAUUAAGAUUGUGGAUUUUGGGUUUGCACGGUUGAUGCCUGACAAGGAAAAGGAUGGCAGCAUGAAGACACCGUGCUUCACUCUUCACUAUGCAGCGCCAGAAGUGUUGCGGCAAGCAGUGCAGAAGGGAGCAAAUGGCUAUGAUGAAACAUGUGACUGGUGGAGCUUGGGUGUGAUUCUGUACACAAUGUUGUCAGGGAGAGCCCCAUUCCAGUCAAGAAGUAAAGAUGACACCUCAGCACCAAUCAUUGAUUGCUCGGAUAAAGGAUGGAAGUUUUGACGUGUCAGGACCAGAAUAGGUCUGUCUCCUCACAGGCUAACAAACUUAUCAAAGGGUUAUUGACAGUAGAUGCUUCAAGGCGUCUCACCAUCACUGAGUUGCUGCAGGAUGAGUGGCUUCAGGGAGGCCCUCCUUAUUUAUUUUCAGCAACUCCCCUCACGACACCCACUAUACUCGCUUUUCAUGCAUUCCACAUGGCAACUAGGGAAGAAUUUUGCUUACUAGUAAGUUUGAUUGGAGUUCAUGAUAAAAAUUCAAACAUAUUGGAGUCUAAGAGGCUGUAGUGGAAGUUACUGGGGUUUUCAAGGGUGUUUUCAUGAUUCCAGUGAUAGUUUAAGAGGUUUAACAGGCUGUAGUGGAAGUUACUGGGGUUUUCAAUGGUGUUUUCAUGAUUCCGGUGAAUUUAAAAGGCUGUAUACAUUUAAUUAGAAAGAAAAAUAGUGUUUAUUACCAUGAUUAGAGAGAGAGAGAAAGUGCAUUAAUCUUUAGUAAACAAACAAGCAAAUCCUGUUAGCUGUAUAUUAAGUAAACAUUCCAUUAGUGUUUAAGAACAAAUUAUAUUAGCACAACUGAUCAAAUGUGCAGUAUCAGUAAGGCUGUAUUCCCAAACACGCCCACACCCGCUUGCCUGACUGUCAGUGUUUAAUUAAAAAGUUAUUGGGGUUUUCAAGGGCGUUUUUCAAGAAGUUAUUGGGGUUUUCAAGGGUGUUUUUCAUGGUUCUAUUGUUAAACAGGCUGUAAUGGAAGUUACUGGGGUUUUCAAGGAUGUUUUUCAUGAUUCCAGUGAUAGUUUAACAAUUAUUCUGCCUCACCAGUGGAAAACAACCGCCCCUAAUAGCCUGACCAACCGUGUGUGGCCUUGCAGAACAGAGAGAGAGAGAGAGAGAGAGAGAGAGAGGUGGGUGUUGUUUGGGAGUGCUAACCAAGAAAUGAUCUUAGUAAUGACAGAUACUUAAUCAAGUAUAUAUAUAUUUUUUGUGUGCCUUUCCCCUGUUGUAUUUGUGUUUAUUUGAGACGGGCAGGAGAAAUUGUUUACCCUCGUCUGCAAACUCUCUUCUCAGGAUGUAAUCUCACCUUACCUUAAUAAAAUGUUGAUUAUUA